GCACCUGUAGCUCAGUUGGUAGAGCAAGCGGCUCAUAACCGCCAGGUCCCAGGUUCAAAUCCUGGCAGGUGUACCA
rnacentral:tRNA from 1 species